CGAUGACAGACCAUGACGAGGAGCAAUGCAAGAGCUAGAGGCCCAGGAGUCCAUCUACCCUAACUCCUUCAUAGUAUUAUCAUAAAAUCCACCCGGCUUCACCAUUACUGUGACAUCUGAGGCUGGAGAAAAUGAUGAAACUGUCCAGACUACCCUCACGUUUACAUACAGUGAAAAAUACCCAGGUGAAGUUCUCCUUUAUGAAAUAUUCCCUCCAGAAAAUCUAGAAGAUAAUGAUGUCUCAGACAUUUUAAAAUUACUAGCAUUACAGGCUGAAGAAAAUCUUGGUAUGGUGAUGAUCUUUACUCUAGUGACAGCUGUGCAAGAAAAAUUAAAUGAAAUAGUAGAUCAGAUAAAAACUAGAAGAGAAGAAAAGAAACAACAAGAAAAAGAAGCAGAAGAGGCUGAAAAGCAAUUAUUCCAUGGCACUCCAAUUACAAUAGAGAAUUUCUUAAAUCGGAAGGCCAAGUUUGAUGAAGAAUUCUUGGAAAUUAAAAAGAAAAGGAUGAAAGAAGAAGAACAGCAGGAAAAAAUAAAUUAAGUUGGAAACAACUAUUUGAAACAGAUCAUAAUCUUGACACAUCUGAUAUCCAGUUCUUGGAGCAUGCUGGAAACAACGUGGAGGUAGAUGAGUCUUUGUUCCAAUAAAUGGAUGACUUGGAGCUGGAGGAUGAUGAGGAUGAUCCAGACUACAAUCCUCCUGACCCAGACAGUGACUCAGCUG
rnacentral:lncRNA from 1 species